rnacentral:tRNA from 1 species
GGUAGUGCAACCUAGUGGAUAAAGCACUGAAUUAGGUCUCCAGAGACCUGGGUUCAAUUCCCAGCUCUGCUG